rnacentral:rRNA from 1 species
CCCUUAGAUGUUCUGGGCCGCACGCGCGCUACACUGACGAAUGCAACGAGCUUAUAACCUUGGCCGAAAGGUCCGGGUAAUCUCCAAAUUUCGUCGUGAUGGGGAUAGAUUAUUGCAAUUAUUAAUCUUCAACGAGGAAUGCCUAGUAAGCGCAAGUCAUCAGCCUGCGUUGAUUACGUCCCUGCCCUUUGUACACACCGCCCGUCGCUCCUACCGAUUGAAUGGUCCGGUGAAGCGUUCGGACCGUGGCCUUUGGACGGUUCGCCGUCUGUUGGCUGCGGGAAGUUCGUUAAACCUUAUCAUUUAGAGGAAGGAGAAGUCGUAACA